rnacentral:tRNA from 1 species
GUGGCUGUAGCUCAGUUGGUUAGAGCAUCUGAUUGUGGUUCAGAAGGUCGCGGGUUCAAAUCUCGUCAGCCACCCCA